CAGUCGCCGCGGUAAUACCGAGGGUGCGAGCGUUAAUCGGAUUUACUGGGCGUAAAGCGUGCGUAGGCGGCUUCUUAAGUCGGAUGUGAAAUCCCUGAGCUUAACUUAGGAAUUGCAUUCGAUACUGGGAAGCUAGAGUAUGGGAGAGGAUGGUAGAAUUCCAGGUGUAGCGGUGAAAUGCGUAGAGAUCUGGAGGAAUACCGAUGGCGAAGGCAGCCAUCUGGCCUAAUACUGACGCUGAGGUACGAAAGCAUGGGGAGCAAACAGGAUUAGAUACCCCGGUAGUCCCUGUCUCUUAUAC
rnacentral:rRNA from 1 species